rnacentral:rRNA from 1 species
CCGAGUUAUACAACUCAUCAACCCUGUGAACAUACCUAAAACGUUGCCUCGGCGGGAAUAGACGGCCCCGUAACACGGGCCGCCCCCGCCAGAGGACCCCCUAACUCUGUUUCUAUAAUGUUUCUUCUGAGUAAACAAGCAAAUAAAUUAAAACUUUCAACAACGGAUCUCUUGGCUCUGGCAUCGAUGAAGAACGCAGCGAAAUGCGAUAAGUAAUGUGAAUUGCAGAAUUCAGUGAAUCAUCGAAUCUUUGAACGCACAUUGCGCCCGCCAGUAUUCUGGCGGGCAUGCCUGUUCGAGCGUCAUUACAACCCUCAGGCCCCCGGGCCUGGCGUUGGGGAUCGGCGGAAGCCCCCUGCGGGCACAACGCCGUCCCCCAAAUACAGUGGCGGUCCCGCCGCAGCUUCCAUUGCGUAGUAGCUAACACCUCGCAACUGGAGAGCGGCGCGGCCACGCCGUAAAACACCCAACUUCUGAAUAGGGAUUGCCCCAGUAACGGCGAGUGAAGCGGCAACAGCUCAAAUUUGAAAUCUGGCUCUCGGGCCCGAGUUGUAAUUUGUAGAGGAUGCUUUUGGUGAGGUGCCUUCCGAGUUCCCUGGAACGGGACGCCAUAGAGGGUGAGAGCCCCGUCUGGUUGGACACCGAUCCUCUGUAAAGCUCCUUCGACGAGUCGAGUAGUUUGGGAAUGCUGCUCUAAAUGGGAGGUAUAUGUCUUCUAAAGCUAAAUACCGGCCAGAGACCGAUAGCGCACAAGUAGAGUGAUCGAAAGAUGAAAAGAACUUUGAAAAGAGAGUUAAAAAGUACGUGAAAUUGUUGAAAGGGAAGCGCUUGUGACCAGACUUGGGCUUGGUUGAUCAUCCGGGGUUCUCCCCGGUGCACUCUUCCGGCUCAGGCCAGCAUCAGUUCGCCCUGGGGGAUAAAGGCUUCGGGAAUGUGGCUCUCUCCGGGGAGUGUUAU